GCUACAUGGAUUUAAAAUGAAGGGAACAACUAGGACAUAGAAUUCAAAUUAUCAAAUGUUUCUUUGUACAAUCAGAGUAAUAAAAGUAUAAAAUUGAUCUCAUGUUGUCAUGAGCUAAGCCAAGAUUUCUGUACUUUGCAGAAUGAAUAAAACACAUACUACAGAGGUAAAUAAUGUUUUCUUUUGUAUUUCUAUUUCUUCCUCUUGCUUCAAAGCUACGAGUUCCGAUUGGGCGGUACAUGUUUAACUGUUUUAGCUGUGGGUUCUGAUUUCCGCUUUCACUAAAUCUUGAAUGAUUGUGCCUCAAGUAUUCAAUUUGUUCUGCAUGUACAUUAGUUAAAUUAGCCAUACAAGGAAGGUUUGUUAUUUUGGGUGCUCCUGCCCUCUCUAAAUUCCCCCUGCAUAUAUAGUAGUUGGGUACCCUGGAGCUCCUCAAACUAAGCCCCAAGCAUCGCCGCCUGGGAUCUCCAGGAUCAACACGCGUCCAUCCUUACCCAGACCGUGCAUAGCUGGCCAUGGCGUUCGUGAUGUAGCCGUAGGAGCAGCCAUCCAUACAGGAAGGUGAUACUAAUGAAGACAAUUGGUUAAAGGUGUUAGUUACAGCUAUAAGAGAAAUGAUAUAGUUCCUCUGAAAGAUCUCUUUUUCUAUUCAUUGUCAGAGGUGGUGUUCAGAUGAGCAAAAUUCAUUAGCUGGUAUACUGGGCUUCAAGAUUAGGUGACUUUUGAUUUAACUGUGAGUUUUCUUGUCCAUGGAUCAGUAGCAUGCCAACAAGGUGAAGACCUUUGCCUGACACAAACUACAAAUAAGAAUGAGCUGAUGCUCUACAAGAAAGCAAUUGUUGCCUGUACCAGCACCAAUUUGGAUUACUCUUUUAAUAAUCUUUGAAAUUAUUGUUAGCUUCAAAAUUUUCCACAGUGGAAAAAUAGCUUGAUGGGAUACUAAUGCAGGGCUAUUUGAGUCUUUUGGUGUACUUUAUUAUUUA